rnacentral:rRNA from 1 species
UACGUAGGGCGCAAGCGUUGUCCGGAAUUAUUGGGCGUAAAGAGCUCGUAGGCGGCUUGUCACGUCGGAUGUGAAAGCCCGAGGCUUAACCUCGGGUCUGCAUUCGAUACGGGCUAGCUAGAGUGUGGUAGGGGAGAUCGGAAUUCCUGGUGUAGCGGUGAAAUGCGCAGAUAUCAGGAGGAACACCGGUGGCGAAGGCGGGUCUCUGGGCCAUUACUGACGCUGAGGAGCGAAAGCGUGGGGAGCGAACAGG